rnacentral:misc_RNA from 1 species
AACCUUAUGGACCUGCGGGCGUAUACCUGCGGAAGGAUCAUUAAUGAAUUAUAAAUGUCAGAGUUGGUUGUAGCUGGUCUCUGGGAUUAAUUUCUUUGGAGUCAAUGUGCACACCUUCUCUUUCAUCCACUCACCCCUGUGCACUUGUGAGGCAGUUUGUGGAGGACUUUAUUAAUUUAUUGGACUCCCUCUGUCUACUUAAUUUACACACAAACUCCAAUUUAUUUUAAAAUGAAUGUA